CGCGCUGCUGCCCCCCGCGCGGGCACCGCGGCUUCAAUGGCGCCAUCGCCCAGGACCAGCAGCCGGCAAGAUGCGACCGCCCUGCCCAGCAUGUCCUCAACUUUUUGGGCGUUCAUGAUCCUGGCCAGCCUGCUCAUCGCUUACUGCAGUCAGCUGGCCGCUGGAACCUGUGAGAUUGUGACCCUAGACCGGGACAGCAGCCAGCCACGGAGGACGAUCGCCCGGCAGACAGCACGCUGUGCAUGCAGGAAGGGGCAGAUUGCAGGCACCACUCGAGCCCGGCCUGCUUGUGUGGACGCACGAAUUAUCAAGACAAAGCAGUGGUGUGACAUGCUCCCUUGCCUGGAGGGGGAAGGCUGCGACUUGUUAAUCAACCGGUCAGGCUGGACUUGCACACAGCCCGGAGGGCGGAUAAAGACCACCACGCCAGCAGAUGGAAACGGUCAGGUGUCCAUCAGUGGCUGAUGGAUACUGUGGUCAGCUAGCUGGAAGACUCGUCAAUACCAGCCUGUUAGCCACUGGGCAGAUGGGUGAGGUGUCGGAGCAGGUCAAGUGCCGAAGUUCAGUCAGAUCUACAGCAGUUCUGAGGGGUGAGUGAACCCCCCUAGAACACUCAUCUUCCCUUAUUGAUGGUCUUCGUGCUGACAGCCCGUUUCCCUGAAGAGACUCACAGUGUGGCUUCUGACCUCUUCACUCUUGACCUUUUCCCACCCAACUGAUGUCAGACUUUGCCUUGAAGAUAUAAAGUCUUCCUCCGGGGUCUCCUUUACCAACAGCCUUUUUAAAAAGCAGACCACCCCUUGAAUGGGGACCGGGCCUGAAUCCUGCCCAUAGUGAUGGAGAGCUAUGCUGGUGCAUAGAACAGGGAAUGGCCAGCCUGGAGCUUACCUGGGAAGUGGAGUGCAAUAAAAAGAGCCGUCAGCCAUGACUACCCAGCACUCCUGAGAACUGCCCCACAUUAGGGCCCAGCUUCCAGAAGUUUCUAGGAACCCUUCCACGAGAACAGACUCCAAGAAAUAUAGAUACGAAUUUGAGAUGGGUUUUAAGGCAUUAAAAACAGAAGUAUGCACACCAGCAUUCAAAUUCAGCAAGAGCUCAAGUUGAUGUUCAAGGGGACCGAAGUUAUUUAGCUCUCCAGUGUACAUGCCCGUACAGCUUGUCACCCGGCUUAAAACAGUGCUGCAGCUGCUCUUCUCUGUAGAAGUUAAGUUGGGGACAGAACACAUCUCCCUCAGAGGGCCCCAACCCUGCCUCCCUGCAGUUCUCUGCCUCCUGGCGUAGAAGGGCUUCCCAGUUCUUCCGUUUCUACUCUCAGUCAAGCCCAGGUUGGGUAGUACAUGUAUCCAGCCACAGUGACCUUCCACGCUAGUGGCACACACCACAGCGGUGACAGGGCAGACCUUUGCCUCAGCUCCUCUAGUCACAUCCACCCCUGGAGCUCCCAGCUCAGGUUCUAGAUGGCUCAUGGUUGCCGGGUAAGGAGGAUCUAGGGAAGAGGCAUGUGGUGUCCCGUCCAUCUCCCUCAGUGUAUCCUGGGCUGCCUCUCAUGGUCUGUCGUGACCUGUUCCUGCUCUGUCCCUGUCUUUGAGUGAGGGUCAGGUUCUCUGUCACUGUGGUCUCUGCUCCGGGUCAGGACUAGUCUCCUGGGAUUUGAGCCCAUCUCUGCCUUUCCUCAGUGGCCUACGUGGGGUCUGCUUGGAGGUGGGCUGUGGACUUAAAGGUGCUGAUUCUUUACCUUCUCAUCCCUGUCCUCCUGCGUGUGGGUGGAGGGUGGCCUCCCACCCUUCUGCUGGCUCUUAAUCAGCAUAGCAGGAAGUUCACUUCACCUGCCAUCUCCCUUAGUCCAGAAGGGUCCAUAUUAGAAGACCAAAGGGAAUCUUGGGAACUAGAAGAGGAUCAGGUAGACAUGGCGGGGGUGGGGAGGAUCCUAUGGCUGCAGCAAGGAGAAUAGGGAACAGCUGUUUCUGUACACAGUGGAGGUUGGGACCUGGGUUGUCCAUGUCUAUGAAGUGGACAAUGUUCUGGGUUCUAGGUAUUAGAAGAUAGGGAACUCCCAGGUGUGGUGAAAGCCUCUACUUUCUCUAGGCAGCCUGCCCACUGGGCUUCAGUGUACAGGCUAGCAGAGGCACCCAUGCCCAUAGUCAAGAUAGAGACUCUGGAGUGGUGCGUGCUAAUCUAAUCCGGCAGUGAUACCCCAGUCCAUGUUAGAUGUGGGUGCCUGUGGCACCUGGGUCCUGCCUGGUUUUGUGGGGUUCAUGUGGUGACAGUGUGGGAGCCCCCUUGGGCACAAGUAGGUGGGCUCUAACAGCAGAAGCGUAUCUUGUUAACAGCUCUAAAUGCAAAACUCUAAGUUGAGGGUGUGCCCGGAGCCGGCUCCCUUCGUAGCCUCCAGGGAGGAAGACUCUUCCCGCCUUGUCAAGUCUCUGGUGGCUGCAAUGCUCCUUGGCUCAUGACUGCACCAUUUUAGUUUCUGCCUCUGUCUCCAUGUGGCUGUUUCUAACUGUCCUGUCUAGAUCUGUGUUCCGAGCUCGAAUCCUGCCUUUGUACCAAUGCUAGUCAUUAGAUUAUCGUCCUCUGUAAUCUGGUGGGACUCUGUGUUGCCUUGAUUACAUCUGCUAGAACCAUCAAGGUCAGGGUAGACAGGUCAUCCCUCCAGAGGGGACCAAGAGUAACUGGGCACAGUCUCUGCUCCCAGUCAUGGAGGCAUGAGAAUCCAGCUUUUCUCCUAGACUAGCCGCACAUGCAGAGCCCUCUCACUGAAUAGAGUCCACCUCCACUCCUCUCUGGUUCCAUCCUUAUUAGGGAGUUUGUUUAUGGAAGAUCAAUAAAUAUUUGAUGGAAGGAUGAAUAACCGUGGGCGGAUUCCUCAGGCAAGCCUAAGGCCUUCCGCUGAGCCUCCUACGACUCCUGAACAUAGCUUCCGGGUCCCAGUGGGCUCUGUACUGCUUCGGCGAUCACACCCCAUUUUGAUUAGUUUGGGAAGGUGUUACUUGCUAAUUUGGUCAGGGCUUCUGUUUGCUCUUGGGCAGUUGGAAGGUACAGGCCUCUACUAGGCUCUGCCUGCGCAGCAUGAUAGCAUUUUGUCUGGAUCACUUUCCAGGGCUCUUGUCUUCCACUGUUGGGAAGGGCUAUUCUGAGACAACCUUUAGUCUCUGACACUUCCUGGGUGAGGGACUUGGUGUCCUGGAGGUGGGUACUGGCCUUCAGGUGGCAGGGUGCUGCUGCUUACCUCCAGUCUCCACUGGACUCAAAGCAAGGCCAGCUGUGGUGCGGCUUCACCUUUGAAGAUGGGGGGAGCGGGUCCUGGGAGCGGGAGCCAGGCAGUAGACCCAGUGCCUUUCCUGAGCCCUGCAGUUGAUUUUGCUACUGUGUCUUGGGGCAUUCCCAUUGAGGUAGCCCUAAGCAAAGGCCCUCUAAACAGAACCCAGCUUAACUUAGCUAAGUGUCUUGCACAGCUGUUGUCUGAAGGUACAGGUCUGAUCAGACUCCUCCCCACAAACCAUGUCCUGCUGCCUUCUCAACCAUCCUGGAGGGGCAGAAGAUAGUUCUCCUGUGUUCCUGGGACCAUCGUCAGCCAGAGAGGAGAUCCUGGAUGCCUUGAACCUGAGUACAAAUGACUCCACACCCAGCACUUUCACUGUGCAGGUUCAUUAUACAGGAAGGCAUCUUUGCCGCCUACAGUGAUCCAUCAGGCCCUUCAUCCAGCUACCAGCAUGCUAUCAAAGUGCACAUGGCACUUAUUAUUUCAGGGCCCAUUCCUGUGUGUUGACUGCAUAAAUGACCAAGGACCUUUGAAUGAACCCCGUUUCCAUUCUCAGCAAAAGCCUGUCCUAUUACUUUGAGGCAAGGCCAUACCUGUUGCCAUGUGUCCCUUCAGCCCAACACAGUCACUGUGAGGGCUGAGCUGGAGUCUCCAGGAUGUCAGAGUGAUCUCAUGACUACUGUGUGGCUCUGUUAUCCUGAGCCUGCAGUCAGACUGUGACCCCAGAAGUGUCUCUGGGCAUCAGCACUGUAGGAAAUGGUCCAGAGAACUGCCACCUGGACAGCUGCUUGCUCCUGGUGGCAUCUCGCUCUGGCCUUUCUCCCCUGGGUGAAAUGAGCAGGGCAGGUUGCAGGCUGGCCUUCCUUGUCCUCAUCCCACUAGGGUGUCCUUUGUGGCCUAGUAUGUGUUCUCAGGAGCUGAGUCAUGGUGGUGGGUGUAGGACUCCCUGCUUGGUAUCCCAUUAGGAAAUGGUGCAUUCUGAAGGUAGGCAGACUUGUCUCCUAGAGACAAUGGUCUUGUUCCAACUGGCUAUUGCCCCCCUUCCUGGUGUGAUUAACAUGCAGGAAAAACUCGGAGUGGAACUCUUGGCCAUGAAGGUUUGGAGGCUGGACUCCCUACUAACUGCCACAAGACUGUAGGCAUAGCCAGGACAGAGAUACCCUCAGAACAUCAGGUGGGACAGAGACACCCCAGAAUGUCAGGAGUUACCUAAGGAUGUUAGGCAGGCAAAAACAAAAUGUCCACUAUUGUCUUUUUCGUCAUGGACUGCCCCCUUCUGCCGACUCUCAGAUCUCUUGAUCGGUAAACACUAACUCCUGAUGUGGAUAUGUUUGAACCUGGGGAAAUUGAGACAUCAACCAGAUAUUCAAAAAACAUUAUGCAGUACAGCAUUGGGUCUGGAAGAUACAUUCUGCCCUGGGAAGCGGGCUAGCCUUUGGCCCCUCCUUUAUAGCAAGAUAGCUCAGCUUAAGAACAGAACCAGAGGAAUGCAGAACAGACGGGGAAAGUCAUGAAAAGGUAUCCUGGUUCUCAUCUCUGAAGCCUGGUGGUCACCAUGAUGUUGGGGGCAUGAUGCUUUAUACUCAGAUAAGUUAUGAGUUGGUGGGUUGAAGACAGGCCAUGAACAUGAUACCAAAGGACCCUCUCUUGCUGCUCAGACCUGGCCAGAUGUGCUGUACCACCCAGACAUGAACAAAUAGCCUGAGCAAGGCAGGGCCCUGAGCUUCCUGAUUCCUCACUCUUCAGAGAAUUCCUUGGUUGCCUAGAACUAACCUACCUUGGUCCAUGUUUCUAGUGUUUUAUGAUUGCCAGGAUUUAAAAGCAUGUGCCACCAAGCCUAGCCAUAUUUUACAAUUUUAAAUUGAACCACAAACUGUGCCAGCCCUCUGUGGAUAUGAGACUUGACAGAUGUGAGACCCUGGCUCCUUAUGAGUUCUAUUUUCCUGCAGGAAAUGGAACAAUCUGGAAAAGAAAGGAGAUUGCUGGGCACAGGCUACUGCCAAGUGCUGCUCAUACUUCCUUUCUGAUUUUACCAGGGUCUUCCUGUGGGGUCUUCCACUCAGACCAGUAUGCUCCUCCAUGAGGCUGACAUAUCCUCACCACAGUACCACAUGAAACUCUUAAUAACACAAGCCACACCUAGGGGUGGAGCAGAAAGGUUGUUUGAUUGAAGCAGAUUGAAGGCAAACCUUGCUGUCCACCUUAAAGAAGAUGAUUGGCCGCAGCAUCCUCACUGGGAUCCAGGUUGUAGAAGUACCCAAGUCAUGGCCUUUGAUGUGAGCCAUGUCCAUACCUCACCAUACUAUUAACCAUCACUCAGAAUGGAGCUGCAUUCAGUCCUACAUGAGUGGAUUGUUCCAAGCCAGUGGACUCAAGGAUUCAUUCGGAUUGUUCUUGGAUCCAUUCUGACCAGUGCUCAGUCUGAAAAGCAAGAACAGCCACACAUGGGGAAGACAGCAGAUCACACCCUUGAGGUUGUAGGUAUGACUAAACCAGAAUGGUCUCUAUAGGUGGAAACAUGGGGUCACCACCCUGCCUAGGCCAGUCACAGAGGGAAGUCUCAUGAAUCUUGGACCUGGGACUUUUAUAGCUGAUGCCAGACUAACUUAAACCUGGGUACAUAAUAGAGGACAGCAGUGCCAGCCCCAGGAGUGCUGCUGUGCUCCUCAUUAAGAAGGCCUGGUGUUAGUUUUUAUCCUUGUGCUUAUUCACCUUGUCAACUUGAUGCAACCUAGAAUCACCCAGGAAGUCUCAUUGAUAGAUCAUCUAUGUUGGAUCGGCAUGAGGCCAUGUCUAUAGGGGAUUGUAUUAAAAAGGUAAUUGAUGUGGAAAGAUCCAGUCUACUGUGGGCAGCACCACUCCCUAGGCAAGGAGUCCUGAACUCUGUAAGAGGAGAAAUUGAGCUGAGUACAGCAAAUGGGCCUCAGGCACUCAUUUUCUUCUUUCUCUUCAUGUGGAGGUAAUGUGACCCACCGCCCCAAGUUAAGUUCCUGCCUUGACAUCCCUAAAGUAAUGAACUGUGAUCUAGAAUUGUAAGCUGAAAGAACGCCCUUCCUCCUGACGCUGCUUUUUGUCCAGAUAUUGUAUCACAACAACAGAAAUGAGAUUAAAAGAGGGCUCACCUCAGCUGGCAUGGGCUGUUUUACCUCUAAGCGGAGUUCUGUUCCCAUCUGGGCACUAGCUGACUGAGCCAUGGCACCAUUGGGCAGCCGAGAAUUCAUCAGGGCCACAGCAGCAUCCUAUGAGCUGUGGCAGCACACGGUGGAGCUCAGGAUAUGGGCACACAGAUGACCUCCCUGUCUGGAGUGCUUCCAUGGGGUCAGGAAGAUACUCAGCACCACCACUGGUUUAAUUCCAGGUCAGACCUCCAAAAAAGAGCAUUGUAGUUAAAACAAAGAGGUACCUGUCCGAGAUGUGAUAUCAUGAUGGGCUGAGUUCCCAGUUAUGCCAGCACCCCUGGUCUGAGUUCAGCUUGCUUCAGCCAUAGGUGGGGUGGGUAUCAGAGGGAAAAGGCCUCUGUAGUACCCUUCUUGAGGAUAGGGCAGAAAGUAAGGCCAGGUAGGGUAGGGCCAAAUUGCUGAGUUUGAGCAGAAGAUAGGCCUGAAGUCAUGCAUGGUACUCACAGGACAUGUACAGGUCAACUGGAGCCUUACAACAUGUCCAAUAGGACCCCAACAAACCUGGAGACCCUGGAAAGUCGGUUAGCUGAGUGGGAGGUUGGUGUCUGUUGUGGCCCAAACCCAGCAUGUGGUGCCCAAGUAAAUAGAGAAGGAUGUCAUGUAGAGCUAGGAAGGAUCCCUGCAUAUCCCCUAGGUCUGUCCUCAUAAUAUCAUGACAUGGUGGUUCCUAAGGGAUAGAACAAGGAAUAUGCGGAUGUGGCCAUGUGUUCUAACAUGUCACUAUGCUAGGCUUAGAUGUGGAGGUGACCCCACCAUUCAUUUCUUGUUGGGCCAGGCACCUCCAAGCCACAAGCAUGGGCGAGACAAUUCCCAAUUCCUGGACUCUUCCUAGCCAUGGGAUCUGUGCCACAGUGUAUCUCCGUCAUAAGGUCCUCAAACUGCAGAUACUUCUCUGGGGCCCUGUGGAUUCUGCCAUCAUCUCAGUCCCCUCUGGACCUUGCUGUAUCCCUUAGGGCUAAAGCACUGAAUGCCUAGGCUAUACAUGAAAGGGCCAGGGGUACCAGUAAACAGUCACUACCACUGGUUAGGUCAUCAAGUGGCCACAGAUUACUGUCUGGGACUACCACUCACUAUGUGCUAAGCUUUGCCAUAUGCCUACCUUUUUCCUAUGGUCUGUCUUUGAGUGCAGCCUCUGAAGACACUAUAAUCCUCAUUCAGUGUCCCACAUUCAGGAGAGUACCUGGAGAUGCUGGUACCUGAAGGCUUCCAGUCCAGGGCUGAGCACAGGCCAGCCUCCUAUUACUCCUGGUGUCCAUACCAAGCAGAAGGAUUCUGGACUACCAUCCGCUUGUCCCCACAUAGUUUGGGCUUGGGGGCAGGUUUCUCCAUCCUGUAUGGCAGGACAUUUGGUCUCAGAUCCAGCUGAAAAAGGCAGACCUUGGAUUGUGCUGACCCAAUAGAUAGGACUUAUAGCUACGCAUCAACGGACACCCAGGACACCCUGGGGACACCCAGGACCAGUGCUCAGCCAGAUGGCUGGGAGGGGAGCAUGAGGUAAGGAUGAGUGGGAAAGUGAGUUGUGAUGUAAUUAAAGGUCUAGAGUCCCAGAAGUUGGGGUUUGUAACCAGCUCUGGGCAUGCCUGGUUGUACAAGUCAGCUAUCAUGGGCACACACGUGGGACACAGAUGGCAUGCUGCUGAGAUGGCAACUGUGACAGUCAGUGACAUAUGAGUCACAGACACUUGGGACUCUAGGACACGGCCAGCCAAAAAUCUUUGGCUCUCGGGCCCUCUGGCUGGCCUCCCCCAACAAAGACUGACAUUGGAAAUCCAUCAUAGCCUGCACGACAGGAGCCCACAAAGGCUUGCAAGUCCUUCUUUGUGUGGCCACAUAGUUAGGUGUGGUGCAGACCAGGCUGCUCUCCCAGAACCUUGUCCAGUCACCCUGCCUUCCACUCAAUCCCAGAGUGGUUUGGGGGCAGCUAAAAAGAGUCCUGUUCCAGAGGUUCUGGCCUUGGAAUCAGGCCCUACAAUGGCCAUGCUAUAAUGUUAGAUCAUGUUGGGCAUUGACAUCCAACCUGGGAGCUGGAGACACUGUGAAACAUACAGAACUGGUCUCAUCCAGUGGCCACUGGAGAGCAGCAACCUUCUGUGUCCAGCAUACAUGUGAGGACCCUUGUCAGAACGACAGUUACCUUCCUGGAGGAGUUCACAACACCUGUCAUCCCCAAACUCUCUAGAGACUUUUGGCAUCUCCUUGUACUUGAGGCCCCCUCAAAGCCUGGAAAGGCAGGUGGGAUCCACAGUGCCUGUACUGGUGGUUAGGCAUUCCAGAAGAUCCCAGUGCAGGUGGUAAAGAAGCUAUUGCAGGAAGAAACCUACAGAAUGAGUGCUCACUGUGUCUGCCAUGGAAGAGGCCCACAGGAAGAACUAGUCGAAGCCCUCUAGAAGGGUGAGCCCAAUGAAAUCCACAGGAGAAAUCCCAGCACUCAACACCCAGAGGCUGUGACAAGGAGGUUCAGCCCAGGCUGUGGAUAGCAAGACCCUGUCUCAAGAAACAAGUGAAGAAAGAGGAAAGAGGGACUAGCCUUUGUCUGGUGUUGGCCUACAGUAACUGUGCUGGGGAGACACAGAGGCAAAAGUAAGAAAAACGAGACUCAGUGACACCCACAAAGGAUCGGUUUACCCAGUGACCAGAAAAUGUUUUAGGCAAAUUACUAUUACUAUCAACCACACACACACACACACACACACACACACACACACACACACACACACACACACACACACACACACACACACACACACCGGAGACUCAGUACCAGGAGCAGGGCAUUUUAUUCUAUGGCUCUGAAAAGCCAGACAUCAGCACAAAAUGGCAGGCAUACUGAUUAAGCAUAGAGCACUUUUUACACUGCUAAUGAAGAUCCCUUCUUCCCUUCCCCCAUUGGCUCAGUUAUCAGGAGUGUGAAAUCUUACACAUCACCUAUGUCUUUCACUCUGCUGCUUUGGGUUUGUAUAUUUCUCUCUCUUUCAUUUUUAAGAUUUAUUUAAUGUACACAAGUGUCUAUCUGCAUGCAUGUCUAUACACCGUGUGUGUACAGUACCCAAGAAGGUCUUUCAGAGGGCAUCAGGUUCCCUAGAACUAGUUAAAGAUUGUUGUGAGCCGCCGUGUGGGUGCUAGGAACCAAACUCUGGUUCUCUAGAAAAGCAGCCAGUGCUCCUAGCCACUGAGCCAUCUCUACAGUCUAUGUUUCCAUAUUUCUUUUUUUUUUAAUUUUUAUUUGUUCUUGGAGAGUUCAUAAAAUGUGUUUUGAUCAUAUUUAUGUUCUAAAAACAUGGAUGGACUCAUCUCUGUUUUGUAUUCUAUUUUUUAUCAAUUCUUAAAUAUUUUCAUUUUUAUUUAUCUUUUAAGUUAGCACAUAAAGUAAGGGAUUUUAUUAGAGCAUUUUCAUGCAUAUGUAUCAUUAUACUUCAGCACAAUAAAGCUAAUAGAUGACAGAUAUGGAGCCAAUAUUACAUUAAGUGAGACAGCUGAGAGCGAGGAACAAGGAUCUAUGUUCAAUAUUGUGUGUGACACCAUGGCCCCAACAGUAUAUUAGUCACACAGCCCUCCAGGAAAAGUCAACUUCCAUGCCUAGCACGUCCAGUGGCAACUCCUCUAACUUGAGCUGGGUUGGAGAGGUAGGGACAUGGCCCUGUCACCAUGAGGCUGACACCACAACCAACCUCAAGAAGAUCUAGGCGAUCCUCUGCAUUUGGAACCAGCCCUGCCCAGCUGCCCACAAACGCUAGCCCCGGAACUGUGAGCUAUGGAGCUGCUGUUGUGUGAAUUAUCCACGUACAGUCUUCAUGUCCUGCAGACCCAGACAAAUGCAGAAAUGGGCUCAGUGGGGAGGGGCCAACAGGGAUAGCCUGCUGGGUGGGGAUGAGGCUGCCAGUGAGCUAUGUCUCAGCAGGUCCAUGUCCAAGGAUAGCCCUCCUAACCAUUGAGUGGCCUGGCCUAGUGAACCCUGCUUUGUGAUCCUGGCACCUAGGGGCAGGGUCUGGGAGGAGACAGCCAAGAGCUUUUUGUGUUUUGGAAAAGGGUUGGACCAGCCAUGCACUAACAGGCAGAAGGCUUUGGGGUGCAGGGAGAGAGAGCACAUGGGACUAAGCAUGGCCUGCCUUGGUCCCUCACCAUGAGGAAUCUUGAUGGUGCUGGAAGCAUGGGAGGAGUUUACAAUGGAAUAAGAUGAACAAGGACAGAAACCAGUGUGUGUGUGUGUGUGUGUGUGUGUGUGUGUGUGUGUGUGUGUGUGUGUGUAGGAGGCAGGGGAUCUUGUCCUCCAGCACAGAUGGAGUAAUACUAAGACCUUCCUCGUUGUUCUUUUCUAGAAAGAGCAGAGACUAUUGCUACAGAACAGUGGUGGGAGAGCAGCCCCCAGAACACAUCUAGAAAGACUGAUUUUUUUGAUAGCUCAACAAUAUAUUUUUCUUCCAAAGAAACAUCUCACCAAAUAACAAAUGUGUAUAUGGUUUCAGCUGUUGGUUUUCCUGUGUUUGCAGAGAGCCCCCAUCAUCCUAUCAUAUCUAACAAUCACCUUCCAAAAUGUGCUGCAGACACAGACCACAGACCCAUCCCAGCUUAGUAUGACAGUAGGGGGAGGGAGUGGACAUCCCUGAAGCCCACACCAAGCCUGCCAAGCCACAGAGGCAGGCAGGAUGCUGUGUCUUAGUGAACCUCUGCUAACUACAGUGUGAAUACUGUGUGAGCUGUUACUAACAUGCACUGUAGAGUGAUAUUGAUAAAAACAAUCGGAGCUUUGCAGAUGAAAUUUCUCCCAUGUAUUUGGUAAGUACAUGAAGAUACAAAGGACCGACCACACACCUAUAAACUGGCCCAGCCAAUGGAGUGUGCCUGCCACCAUCCACCCAUAGGCUCCCUGAAGCCCCUCCCAUGGCAUGUGGCCUGGAGAGACCACUCAGAGCUGGACCUCACUCUAUGUAUACAAAUCAUGGGGGUUUGUCCAUGUUGGAAGGAUCCCAUCUUCUGGAAUUAGUCCCAGGACACUUCCUCAGUGUGACAGAGCUGGGGUUGUCACUGGGGGUGUUGGAGUCAUAGCUUGAGAUCUGGCAGCUCCAAGAAGCAAGGCCCAUCAUCCAUCCGAAUAUAACAGAGACCAGCUUUGGUGAAAAGCAACGAAAGCUGACUUAUUCCACAUGGACACAUUGGGAGGAGAAGUCAGAGGUCCGGUGAUCCCUAAGUCUGUAGGCUACUGAAGAGCUUUAGGCGUAGAGGAUAGGGGGUAUAUGUAUAACUAAACAGUCUCUCCCAUGGCUAACACCAACCUUCCACCAUUCCCCUCUGCCGCCAUAGGACUCCUGAAGGUCUCCUGACAAUCGCAGCCCCUGCGGUGCCCCUGGGAGUGGCCGUGGCUCCCUGGAGACUCUACACCUCAGCCGCAGCCCUCCAUCCUUCGUGGACACCGCCUGUUCUCCACCUACCCACAGUUUCCCAGAGGCCUGACAAGGACAGCCCAAUUCCUCGGAGCCCUGAGCUCAAGUCUGUCCAGCUGAACCCAGGAGGCCAGGACUCAGACACACAGGGGGUGGUGCCAGGAAUCAGCAAUACCUGGUACGUGGAGCCUGGCCGCACCCACCCUCCCUAGCCACUUGCUCCCUGGAGUUGGAGGACAAGAACAAGGAGGCUGCAGCCCAGCCAGCUGGGCCACAACGCAAGGUCCGGGGACUGUUGGGAGCAGAAGCCACCACUUCCUGUGUCCCAGACUGUCUGAAUCGCUUUUAUUUUCUUAUACUUUCAGUAUACUCAAUAGACCAAAGAGCAAAUCUAUUUUAACGUGGACGCGUCCCUGCUGCCAAGAGUUCCCGGGUUUGAUUGUGGGGCGGGGGAGGGCACAGUGGCAGACAUGCUGGUGGCCCAGGCAGCAUGGAGAGGGCAUCCGUGGCCAAGACCCCCGCCCCACGAACACUGCAGCGUGCUCUAGGAGGAUGGCUUUGCCCAGAAGGACACCACUGUGGUGCACCUGCAGGACCCAGCCGGGGCGUGGCCGGCGACGGCCUCCAGCGGACAGCAAGGGCCCCGGACACAGACCCUUUGCCCCUGUGCUUAGACCAACUCUAUCAUACUAAAAUCACUUUCUGUUUUAACCAGUUAGACAUGCCUCUUCCACAGCUCCAUUUUUGAUAGUUGGAUAAUCCACCAUUUGCCAAGAGCAUGCUGGGUCUCCCGUGACUGCUAUCUCAUCUGAUACGCCAUUCAGCACCAGAAAGCAAAUUAAAGAAAACUGAAGUAACCCUGUUUGAAAGAGAUCAUUAAAUGUAUUUUGCAAAAGCCUAAAGUUAUAUAUUUAACAGUUUUUAUAUGUUGUAUAUUUGUAGAAAAUCCUAUUUAACAUUUGACGGCAGGUCUGACCAUCCCAAGAGUUGCGGCCAGGCCCCCUGUGAUCCUGGAGACUCUGGGGUGGCCAUGGAGGACCUCAAUGCAGGCAUGGAGGGGCCAAGCUGUGGGUGAGGUGCAGAGGACCUUGCCCAUGCUAGGAAAUCGUGUCUCUCUUUGCUUUGGUUUGGUCUGGUAGCUCACGCCUCCUGUGAGUCUGUGUGUUGGUAAACAGCGUGUACAAUAUUUUGGUCAUGCCUCCUCUGAUGGGUUUUGGUCCCUCUCUCUCUCUCUUAACCCCCUUCGCCAUCCAUAGAUCCUGAGUCCAUGUUCGGCCAAUUUGCCUUUCCCAAGUAAAUGCCCCCCCUUCAUUCUCAGAGGUCCUUGUUCUCCACAUCAGGAGGCUGAAAACAGCAGGGCUGGAGAGGGUGGAGGAGCUGGGGAAGAGUCACCUUCCUUGGUUGCUCUACACUGUGGUGCCAGAGGCCAGCGGAUAAGGAACACACAUGGUCCCCAUUCAUUCUCCUGAGUUCUUCUAAAAGUAUACUACCUACACGUCCAAUUAACAUGACUAUCAUGCUAGUAAUAUGCUACUAAAGAAAAAAGUAAAAAAAAAAAAAAAUGUAUUUAACUCCAGUAUAUAGAUGCCGUUCCAGCAACCAUAGGCUAAAGAUAGGAAAGAAAGCCCAUUUCUGCAAGACCCAUUCCAGUAUCCACGUGUCCUCCCUUCAUUCAUGCAGAGGGAUGAGCAUCCUGGGCAAAGAGAUGAGGCUGAGAUGAGGGGGUUCUCGUCAGAGGAGGUGGUCAGGCAAGGCCACUGUGCCCCACAGUGCCAGGCUCUGACAGCCUGUGUUACAGGGGGUGAGCAGGGCACGAGGGCUCAUGUCACCUCUGAACCUCAACAUCCAUACCACCUCCCCUCGGCUGUUUCUUUUGAAAGCUAGCAUAGUCACAUCUGAGGGCAGAGACCGGGAGAUUUAAGAUGUUGCAGCAUAUUUCCCCCCUUGUUUUACGGUAUCCAAUUUUGUGUUGAUUCAGCUAAAUUAUGAAAAUAAAGAAAAAAAAGUCCUUUGAUAA